rnacentral:misc_RNA from 1 species
GCUCCGUUGGUGAACCAGCGGAGGGAUCAUUACCGAGUUUACAACUCCCAAACCCAAUGUGAACCAUACCAAACUGUUGCCUCGGCGGGGUCACGCCCCGGGUGCGUCGCAGCCCCGGAACCAGGCGCCCGCCGGAGGGACCAACCAAACUCUUUCUGUAUUCCCCUCGCGGACGUUAUUUUUACAGCUCUGAGCAAAAAUUCAAAAUGAAUCAAAACUUUCAACAACGGAUCUCUUGGUUCUG